rnacentral:lncRNA from 1 species
UGAUGAAGGAAAGUUUCAUCUUUAUUAUCUAAUAUAAUUAAGAAUAAAUUUAGCUUAAAUUCACAGAUCCAGAGUGCUAUUAAUUAAUACCAUGACUGGUAAUUUAAACCUAUCUUUCCUUCAGGCUACCCUGGCCCAGAGAUGCUUUUAAGGGAAAAAUAAUGUUAUUUGAUUUUGAGUUUCUUUUCCGGUUUUUCGUGGUCUGGAAUCUCCUCUAAGGAAAGAGAGGCAAUUUCAGAGAGAAGGAAUGCCAUAGAUUGUCCUGAUGCCAUCCUGAACGGCCAGGACUGCUCGGCAUGCCUCUCGUUACUGAGACAUCAUCCAUCACGAUAGAAAGAGUGUGCAGAUUCCAGACGGCAGAAAUCCGUCCACUCGCUGCACUCGAGUUGCUUCAGGCACUGACGUGGCUUCAACUGCAUUUGACCUGGUGCUUCGGAUUCAAGCCAGUAGGUGACUCAUUAUUUCAGAUGUUUGGUUUGUGUUCUUACAGUUGAAGCAGUCUGCAAGGAAAAUAGAAAACCCUGUUGUAAAAAUAAGAUCUGUCUCCAGGAAGGAGAAUCCCUGCGUGCUGACCAGGGUGGGGUGUCCACACGGGACUCAUCUGACGUGUUGUUUUACCUUAGAUCCUGCUUUGAAGUGGUCUUGGCAGCUGUCCAUCCGUGA